rnacentral:rRNA from 1 species
CCUUCGGGACUCGUAGAAGUUUGAACGGACUGGCGGGCAUGCCUUACACAUGCAAGUCACGGUAACACGGUUAAGCGUGCGAGUGGCGAACGGGUGAGUAAUGUAUCGGAACGUGCCCACGUCGUGGGGGAGUAACUGCUCGAAAGAGCAGCUAAUACCGCAUACGACCUGAGGGUGAAAGCGGGGGAUCGCAAGACCUCGCGCGAUUGGAGCGGCCGAUAUCAGAUUAGGUAGUUGGUGAGGUAAAGGCUCACCAAGCCGACGAUCUGUAGCUGGUCUGAGAGGACGACCAGCCACACUGGGACUGAGACACGGUCCAGACUCCUACGGGAGGCAGCAGUGGGGAAUUUUGGACAAUGGGCGCAAGCCUGAUCCAGCCAUGCCGCGUGCGGGAAGAAGGCCUUCGGGUUGUAAACCGCUUUUGUCAGGGAAGAAAAGGUUCUGGCUAAUACCUGGGACUCAUGACGGUACCUGAAGAAUAAGCACCGGCUAACUACGUG